UACGGAGGGUGCAAGCGUUAUUCGGAAUUACUGGGCGUAAAGCGCGCGUAGGCGGCGUGUUAAGUCUGAUGUGAAAGCCCCGGGCUCAACCUGGGAAUGGCAUUGGAUACUGGCUCGCUAGAGUGCGGUAGAGGGUGGUGGAAUUCCCGGUGUAGCAGUGAAAUGCGUAGAGAUCGGGAGGAACAUCUGUGGCGAAGGCGGCCACCUGGACAAACACUGACACUGAGGCACGAAAGCGUGGGGAGCAAACAGG
rnacentral:rRNA from 1 species